rfam:Hordeum vulgare subsp. vulgare, WGS project CAJW01000000 data, contig: morex_contig_277247
GGGGUGGUGGCGCAGUUGGCUAGCGCGUAGGUCUCAUAGCUGUUAUAAUAUGCGAGUGAUCCUGAGGUCGAGAGUUCGAGCCUCUCUCACCCCA